GAUGAAGAACGUAGCGAAUUGCGAUAAGUAAUGUGAAUUGCAGAAUUCAGUGAAUCAUCGAAUCUUUGAACGCACAUUGCGCCCCCUGGUAUUCCGGGGGGCAUGCCUGUUCGAGCGUCAUUUCACCACUCAAGCCUCGCUUGGUAUUGGGCAACGCGGUCCGCCGCGUGCCUCAAAUCGACCGGCUGGGUCUUCUGUCCCCUAAGCGUUGUGGAAACUAUUCGCUAAAGGGUGUUCGGGAGGCUACGCCGUAAAACAACCCCAUUUCUAAGGUUGACCUCGGAUCAGGUAGGGAUACCCGCUGAACUUAAGCAUAUCAAUAAGCGGAGGA
rnacentral:misc_RNA from 1 species